CACGUAGAGUGCGAGCGUUGUCCGGAAUUAUUGGGCGUAAAGAGCUCGUAGGCGGUGUGUCGCGUCGGCCGUGAAAACCUGCAGCUUAUCUGUGGGCUUGCGGUCGAUACGGGCAUCACUGGAGUUCGGCAGGGGAGACUGGAAUUCAUGGUGUAGCAGUGAAAUGCGUAGAGAUCAUGAGGAAGACCAGUGGCGAAGGCGGGUCUCUGGACAGUUCCUGACACUGAGACACGAAGGCCAGGGGAGCAAACGGG
rnacentral:rRNA from 1 species